GAUGAAGAACGUAGCGAAAUGCGAUAAGUAAUGUGAAUCGCAGAAUUCAGUGAAUCAUCGAGUCUUUGAACGCACAUUGCGCCCCCUGGUAUUCCGGGGGGCAUGCCUGUCCGAGCGUCAUUGCUGCCCUCAAGCACGGCUUGUGUGUUGGGCCUCCGUCCUCCUCCCGGGGGACGGGCCCGAAAGGCAGCGGCGGCACCGCGUCCGGUCCUCGAGCGUAUGGGGCUUCGUCACCCGCUCUUGUAGGCCCGGCCGGCGCUUGCCGACACAUCAAUCUUUUUUCCAGGUUGACCUCGGAUCAGGUAGGGAUACCCGCUGAACUUAAGCAUAUCAAUAAGCGGAGGA
rnacentral:misc_RNA from 1 species